AUUGAACGCUGGCGGCAUGCCUUACACAUGCAAGUCGAACGGUAACAGGUCUUCGGACGCUGACGAGUGGCGAACGGGUGAGUAAUGCAUCGGAACGUGCCCAGUCGUGGGGGAUAACUGCUCGAAAGAGCAGCUAAUACCGCAUACGACCUGAGGGUGAAAGCGGGGGACCGUAAGGCCUCGCGCGAUUGGAGCGGCCGAUGUCAGAUUAGCUAGUUGGUGGGGUAAAGGCCUACCAAGGCAACGAUCUGUAGUUGGUCUGAGAGGACAACCAGCCACACUGGGACUGAGACACGGCCCAGACUCCUACGGGAGGCAGCAGUGGGGAAUUUUGGACAAUGGGCGCAAGCCUGAUCCAGCAAUGCCGCGUGCAGGAAGAAGGCCUUCGGGUUGUAAACUGCUUUUGUCAGGGAAGAAAUCUUCUGGGCUAAUACCCCGGGAGGAUGACGGUACCUGAAGAAUAAGCACCGGCUAACUACGUG
rnacentral:rRNA from 1 species